rnacentral:rRNA from 1 species
CCAGCACCCCGAGUGGUCGGGACGAUUAUUGGGCCUAAAGCAUCCGUAGCCGGUUUUACAAGUCCUCCGUUAAAUCCAACUGCUUAACAGAUGGGCCGCGGAGGAUACUAUAAGACUAGGAGGCAGGAGAGGCAAGCGGUACUCAGUGGGUAGGGGUAAAAUCCGUUGAUCCAUUGAAGACCACCAGUGGCGAAGGCGGCUUGCCAGAAUGCGCUCGACGGUGAGGGAUGAAAGCUGGGGGAGCAAACCGGAUUAGAUACCCGGGUAGUCCCAGCCGUAAACGAUGCAGACUCGGUGAUGGACCAGCUUCAUGCUAGUCCAGUGCCGCAGGGAAGCCGUUAAGUCUGCCGCCUGGGUAGUACGGUCGCAAGACUG